GACGAACGCUGGCGGCGUGCUUAACACGUGCAAGUCGAACGGUGAAGGGACCAGCUUGCUGGUUCUGGAUGAGUGGCGAACGGGUGAGUAACACGUGAGUAACCUGCCCCCUUCUUCUGGAUAACCGCAUGAAAGUGUGGCUAAUACGGGAUAUUCUGGGUCUGUCGCAUGGCGGGCCCGGGAAAGAUAUUGCUUCGGUGGGGGAUGGGCUCGCGACCUAUCAGCUUGUUGGUGGGGUGAUGGCCUACCAAGGCGGUGACGGGUAGCCGGCCUGAGAGGGUGGACGGUCACACUGGGACUGAGACACGGCCCAGACUCCUACGGGAGGCAGCAGUGGGGAAUAUUGCACAAUGGGCGCAAGCCUGAUGCAGCGACGCCGCGUGAGGGAUGGAGGCCUUCGGGUUGUAAACCUCUUUCGCCAGUGAAGCAGGCCUGCUCCUUGUGGGUGGGUUGACGGUAGCUGGAGAAGAAGCGCCGGCUAACUACGUG
rnacentral:rRNA from 1 species